rnacentral:lncRNA from 1 species
UUAUACUGGUUAGUUGUUGAAGUACAAUUAUCUCCUUGCACCUAUCUUCGCUUAAGUGAUAAGUUAAACAAAAGGGGUAUCAAAUUAUAUUUACUCAGACUUAGUACUGGAUCAUUGAACUUCUGGACUCCCCAUUAGCUAAAUUGUAAGCUUCUUGAAGGACAGUGAUAAAGAAUCUUGAUUUUAGAGUUGGAAGGUAUAUUUUGAAGAAUGGGAGAAGUAAUGAAGAAUUAGAGAAAAGAUUUCCUUGGGAUACAGACCCAGUAAUGGCACUGCUGAGUCAAAAGGUAUGCACAGUUUAUAGCCCUUUGGGCAUAAUUCCAGAUUGCUCUCUAGAAUACUUGGAUCAUUUCACAACUCCACCAACAAUGCAUUAGUGUUCAAAUUUUCCACAUCCACUCCAACAUUUACAUAAUCUUUUCCAGUUUAUUUUAAGCAAUCUGAG